rnacentral:rRNA from 1 species
CGAACGCUGGCGGCGUGCUUAACACAUGCAAGUUGAACGAAGUACCUUGAGUUUACUCUUGGUAACUUAGUAGCGGACGGGUGAGUAACGCGUGAGUAACCUACCUUUGUGAGGGGGACAACAGCUGGAAACGGCUGCUAAUACCGCAUAAGGCCACAGUGUCGAUUGACACAGUGGUAAAAGAAUCUAAUCACACAAAGACGGACUCGCGUCCCAUUAGCUAGUUGGUAAGGUAACGGCUUACCAAGGCGACGAUGGGUAGCCGACCUGAGAGGGUGAUCGGCCACACUGGAACUGAGACACGGUCCAGACUCCUACGGGAGGCAGCAGUGGGGAAUAUUGGGCAAUGGGCGCAAGCCUGACCCAGCAACGCCGCGUGAGGGAAGAAUGUCUUCGGAUUGUAAACCUCUGUCCUUGGGGACGAAAAAAAUGACGGUACCCAAGGAGGAAGCUCCGGCUAACUAC